rnacentral:lncRNA from 1 species
GGACAUUUCUGAGCUCCUUCUCUGGCAGUACUUAGGUCUCUGGAAGAAAAAAAGGUGCUUUGGAGACCAGGAUGCCAGCAGCAGAGGGUGCUGCUCCCCUACACUGCGAGCAACUGCAGCAAGCAGGGCUGAGCGCUGUGCUGGCUCUUUCCAGUCUGCUUUCAGGGCUUCCUUUCUUUUUCCCACCAAAAUGGCCAGGAACUAAUUUUUCUGCUUCCCUGCUCCCACUGGCUUCUUGUGCACAGGCUGCGAUGUGUGCUCAGCCUCCCACAUUCAGCCUUGUGCUGCACAGUGCAAGAGGCAAAGGGAGCGUUACGCCACAUCCUUCUUACUGCCAAGUGUUGUGCCAGCUCAUAGAGGCAGAGCCUGCACGUAGCACGUACAUGCUUCCGGGCGGUGUUUAGUCUCUCUGUCUCUCCAGAAAGCUGCAUGUUUGCUGCCUGUCUGUCUUCAU